rnacentral:lncRNA from 1 species
AUGCCCACUGCCAUUCUUGCAACUCGGAGAAGUCCUGCGCUGCCCAAAUGUUCACUGUGGGGGUUGUCGUGCGUUGGUCCUGUGCUACCAGUACAGAGUCACUUACAAGAGGGUAGCACGCUGGAACUGAAAGUAGCAGAGGUGGAGGCACCAGUCUCAUUCAUAACUGUGCCUGGCUGUGUAACUAGUGUGAUACAGUGUGUAAAGCUGAAGCAAUUCCUUUCAUCAACGAUGAACCUAAAACGCUGGCCAUGCAACAGCAGCAACAAACCACCAGUUCUAAUUACAGAAUUACACGAUGCUCCCGGGGUUAAUCCUGCAUUCAGUAUCUUCAGACCCAUGUAUACAGAAAGCAUCAUCAAUGUUUUCCAUCCGCCACCAAAAUCCGAGAUGCUCCUGUGCUGGACCGCAACAGCAGCGGCUUUGCGUUGGGUGGCGUUGGUUUCCAUAGGUGCAGGCAAGACCCAGCGAGAGGUCUUGUGCCUGGACUUCAACACAGACUCACUCACUGCCCACGUCUUCAUCGUGCCCAGGCAGAUCCGGGUGGCAUCAGGCGGAAGAAAACUCUUUGCUGCUCUUACGCUUGACAACGUGUUAGUCCCAGCUUUCAGUGCAGAAGGUCCAGGUCACAGGAGGAGUGAGUACAGCGGGAAAGGGCCUGAAGAGUUUUACUGGGGCAUUGUUAGGGAUCCAAACAGACAGGAAAGUGGCUCACAUCUCUCCGUCCUCCCUCAUUGCUCAAAGACAUGUCCUAUAUGA